UCUGUCUCCCAUUAGCCUAGUGAGUCUGUUGUCACAGCUAUAGACAGUUUGUGAGGUGUGGACCAAAGAGGGGUUUCAUUGGCUUGGAUCUCAGGGGUGGGCGGGGAGCUGUGGAGUACUUGCGGUGAGUUGGUCCUGAAAGAGAGACCGUGGAGAGGUUGCAAUUGCAACACACAGAUGCUUAUGGAGAGAUAUCUUCAAAACAAGUCAGCUAAUGUUCUAUUCAUGGAAAAUACCUAUUUGUGUCUUAACUGAAGUUAUAAUAUCUUCACUGAUUUAUAAGUGAGACGUUUUGAGUGAGCGGAAAAACGUUGACUUUACCAAAUAUGCAUAGUGCGUUUGGAUGUUGCUUUCUCCGCAUCCCAUCCACAUGAGGACGCAUUUCAUUACCAUUAUUGUUCAACGUUAAUUGUUUUGAACAUUUUAAGACUUUUUGAUAUUGAAGGACAAUGUUAACCUGGGUGAUAAAGUGGGCAUGUUGUCUAAUGUGGCUCUUCAAUAGCAGCGCUGCCUCCGUUGAUGAUGAAUGGACAGACUCUGCGGGCGAGUCAGGGUCGGGAAUGCUAACAGAGGUGAACCUUCUAGAGGAGCUCUCGCUGCAGGUGUCCAACAGCAGUAAUGCCUCCAUGUCUCUGGAUGCUCAGAGGUGUCCGGUGCUGCAGGUGGGACAGUACUCCACCCUGGCCCUGCCCCUAGCAGAACUCUUCACUGACGGGUUUGCAGAUGAAUUCAGUCUGUUGGUGCAGUUGCGAAGCCCACAGCGAGACGAACGCAGCGUGCUCACCCUGCUCAGCCAUGACAGCCACAUCCUGCUGCAACUACGCAUCAGCGCAUACACACUCACCUUCAUCAGCACACAACAGCGCCACUACGAGUUCCCGGUCAGUGGUCUGUCUGAUGGCCAGUGGCACCACGUAGCUGUGAGUGUGUCAUCUGUUAGGCUGGCGCUGUAUGUGGACUGUGCCUUGGUGGAGAGUGUGGACUGGGUGUACCAGGGUAUGGGCAUCACCCCUGAAGGCCUACUAUUGUUGGGAGGGAUCAUAGAGGGCUUCGAAACACCCUUUGAGGGCCAAUUCCGACAGCUGACGUUCCUGAUGGGCGACACAGAUGCCGGCCACCAUCACUGCACUCUUCACCCUGCCCAGUGUGGGGGGGCUGGGUUCAAGUCCCCCCGCUCCCCACGUACCAACCACGCCCUGGAGAAGCUCCUGCUGUCCUCAAAUGAUCUGGUGGACCUCCUAGAGAGAUCCAAGGAUUCCUCAUUCUUGGAUGUGCAAGUGGGGAAGACUGAUGUGUUUGGGCAGAGUGGGAGUCGGCGUGGAGAUGGGACAUGGGGUCCCCGCCAGAAAGGCUCGGUGGGACGAGGGGACGUCUUUGUGGUGGACGAGGACACAGACCUGGCUGAUCCAAACCUCCAGGGGGGACACCUCAACCCUCAGUGGAAACCCAGCAGGCAGGGCCCCAAAGGCAGCCACGAGGGCAAGCCUGAGCCCUCCUCCAAACUCUUGGAGGAGAACAUCACCACGAACAAGAAGACGAAAGACUCUGGAGGGAGGGGCGUCGGCCUGUUUCCCGCAAAACCCUUGGAUGACAUCAUUAUUGAUUUGGACCCUGGGUCUUCCCCGAAGAAGCCCUCAGUGGAGUUUCCCCAUGUCGUUAAGACUCAGAUAGAGACCCCCCUUGACCAGGAGCACCCAGACUCUAACCUGCUGAGAGAGGAGGUGGAGCGGCCUCAGACCCCUUCUCAGACUGCCUUCGCCCCCACCUCAGAGCCCCCUGCCCCCCCUGUGGAGGCUGUAACUGAGGAGAGGAGACCCACCACACACAUCCCCACCCAGCCUGACCCAGACCCUGACCGGGCUAUCACUGUGGAACGAGGACCAGAACGCCCACGCACAGUGACCAUCGUACACAGGGAAGGGGAUCUGGUUCUGGGCUCUGAUGGCCAGAUGUAUAGGCUCCAGAGAGGGCCCCCAGGCCGAAUGGGGCCCCCAGGAAAGGAGGGCUUUCCCGGUCACGCUGGCUUACGUGGGUUUAAAGGUGACAGGGGCCAGCUGGGGCCUGAGGGGCGUGCAGGGCGACAGGGGGAUCCAGGCCCCCCCGGCCCACCUGGUCUGCCGUCCUUCUACCUGUGGAAGAACACUAUUGAGGAGUGGGCUGCUUUUCGGCAAACCUCUUUCUACCAUUUACUCUAUGCUGGCUGGCCUAGGGAGCAGGGUCUCCCAGGACCAGCUGGGGAGAUGGGAAAGACAGGCCCACAGGUGAGCAAAACCCCUUCCCUGCAUAUUUACUUUAGGUAG
rnacentral:lncRNA from 8 species